CCCAUCAAUCCUCGCCUGGCUGUGCUGACGUCAUCCUGCAGUAGCGGGGAUGGGUUGGGAAUGAGGGAGAGAGUGAGGACGCCCGGCUCCAGAGCAAACGAGAAGCCUCUGCAAGUCCCCCACCUCAGCCACCCGGGUUGAGGUCUGCCCAGGUCUGCUGUAUGGACCAGUGUGGGCGGCAGGCUCUUUUCUGUCUGUGCCCUGCUGCCCCCUAGCUUCUCCCCCCCACUGCUUGGAGAGCCCCUGCCUCCCUCCCCCAAGGUGGAAUCAGCCGGCUAGAGGCUCUCGGGGGAGAGCGAUCGCCUGGCCCUGCCCUGCCCUGCCCACACCACACCAUGACCCUGCUGCUGUUGCCCCUCUUGCUGGCCUCCCUGCUCCCCUCCAGCUCUUGUAACAAAGCCAACAAGCACAAGCCAUGGAUCGAGGCAGAAUACCAGGGCAUCGUCAUGGAGAAUGACAACACGGUCCUGCUGAACCCACCACUCUUUGCCCUGGACAAGGAUGCUCCCCUGCGCUAUGCAGGUGAGAUCUGUGGCUUCCGGCUCCAUGGGUCUGGGGUGCCCUUUGAGGCCGUGAUUCUGGACAAAGCAACCGGAGAAGGGCUGAUCCGGGCCAAGGAGCCAGUGGACUGUGAGACCCAGAAGGAGCACACCUUCACCAUCCAGGCCUACGACUGUGGCGAGGGCCCCGACGGGGCCAACACCAAGAAGUCCCACAAGGCGACUGUGCACGUGCGGGUCAAUGACGUAAAUGAGUUUGCCCCCGUGUUUGUGGAGCGGCUGUACCGCGCUGCGGUAACUGAGGGGAAGCUGUACGACCGCAUUCUGCGGGUGGAAGCCAUCGAUGGUGACUGCUCCCCCCAGUACAGUCAGAUCUGCUACUAUGAGAUCCUCACCCCCAACACGCCCUUCCUCAUCGACAAUGACGGAAACAUCGAGAACACGGAGAAGCUGCAGUACAGUGGUGAGAGACUCUACAAGUUCACGGUGACAGCUUACGACUGCGGGAAGAAGCGGGCAGCGGAUGAUGCCGAGGUGGAGAUCCAGGUGAAGCCCACCUGUAAACCCAGCUGGCAAGGCUGGAACAAAAGGAUUGAAUAUGCACCAGGCGCAGGGAGCCUGGCUUUGUUCCCUGGUAUCCGCCUGGAGACCUGUGAUGAACCUCUCUGGAACAUUCAGGCCACCAUAGAGCUACAGACGAGCCAUGUGGCCAAGGGCUGUGACCGUGACAACUACUCAGAACGGGCACUGCGGAAACUCUGUGGUGCCGCCACCGGGGAGGUAGACCUGUUGCCCAUGCCCGGCCCCAAUGCCAACUGGACGGCCGGACUCUCAGUGCACUACAGCCAGGACAGCAGCCUUAUCUACUGGUUCAACGGCACCCAAGCCGUGCAGGUGCCCCUAGGUGGCACAGCCGGGCUGGGCUCUGGGCCCCAGAACAGCCUCAGUGACCAUUUUACUCUGUCCUUCUGGAUGAAGCAUGGUGUGACCCCCAACAAGGGCAAGAAGGAAGAGGAAACCAUCGUGUGUAACACUGUCCAGAAUGAGGAUGGCUUCUCUCACUACUCGCUGACCGUCCAUGGCUGCAGAAUUGCCUUCCUCUACUGGCCUCUGCUUGAGAGUGCCCGCCCAGUCAAGUUCCUCUGGAAGCUGGAGCAGGUCUGUGAUGAGGAAUGGCACCACUAUGCUUUGAACCUGGAGUUCCCCACAGUCACGCUUUAUGCUGAUGGCAUCUCAUUUGACCCUGCCCUCAUCCAUGACAAUGGUCUCAUCCACCCGCCCCGAAGGGAACCUGCUCUCAUGAUUGGGGCCUGCUGGACUGAGGAGAAGAACAAAGAGAAGGAAAAGGGAGGAGACAACAGUACAGACACCACACAAGGAGACCCCUUGCCGAUCCACCACUACUUCCAUGGCUACCUGGCUGGUUUCAGCGUGCGCUCAGGCCGCCUGGAGAGCCGCGAGGUCAUCGAGUGCCUCUAUGCAUGUCGGGAGGGGCUGGACUAUAGGGAUUUCGAGAGCCUGGGCAAAGGCAUGAAGGUCCACGUGAACCCCUCGCAGUCCCUGCUCACCCUGGAGGGGGAUGAUGUGGAGACCUUCAACCAUGCCCUGCAGCAUGUGGCUUACAUGAACACUCUGCGCUUUGCCACGCCUGGCGUCAGGCCCCUGCGCCUCACCACUGCUGUCAAGUGCUUCAGCGAAGAAUCCUGUGUCUCCAUCCCUGAAGUGGAGGGGUACGUGGUGGUCCUUCAGCCUGAUGCCCCCCAGAUCCUGCUGAGUGGCACUGCUCAUUUUGCUCGCCCGGCUGUGGACUUUGAGGGACCUGAGGGGAUCCCCUUGUUCCCCGAUCUUCAAAUCACUUGCUCCAUUUCCCACCAGGUGGAGGCCAAAAAGGAUGAGAAUUGGCAGGGCACAGUGACAGACACACGCAUGUCAGAUGAGAUCGUGCACAACCUGGAUGGCUGUGAGAUUUCUCUGGUCGGGGAUGAUCUGGACCCUGAGCGGGAAAGCCUGCUCCUAGACAUGGCGUCCUUGCAGCAGCGAGGGCUGGAACUCACCAACACAUCUGCCUACCUCACCAUUGCCGGGGUGGAGAGCAUCACUGUGUACGAAGAGAUCCUGAGGCAGGCUCAUUAUCGGCUGCGACACGGAGCUGCCCUCUAUGCUAGGAAAUUCCGGCUGUCCUGCUCAGAAAUGAAUGGCCGUUACUCCAGCAAUGAAUUCAUCGUGGAGGUCAAUGUCCUGCACAGCAUGAACCGGGUCGUCCACCCCAGCCACAUGCUCAGCUCCCAGCAGUUCCUGCACCGCGGCCACCAGCCCCCUCCUGAGAUGGCUGGACACAGCCUGGCCAGCUCCCACCGAAACUCCAUGGUCCCCAGUGCAGCGACUCUCAUCAUUGUGGUGUGUGUGGGGUUCCUGGUGCUCAUGGUCAUCCUGGGCCUCGUGCGUAUCCACUCCCUUCACCGCCGUGUCUCAGGGGCUGGCGGGCCUCCAGAGGCCUCCAGUGACCCCAAAGACCCUGACCUCUUCUGGGAUGACUCGGCACUCACCAUUAUCGUGAACCCCAUGGAGUCCUACCAGAAUCGGCAGGCCUGUGUGGCGGGGGCUGCCGGUGGCCAGCAGGAGGACGAGGACAGCAGCGACUCGGAGGCAGCCGACUCCCCCAGCAGCAACGAGAGACGCAUCAUCGAGACCCCUCCACACCGCUACUGACGCUGCACCCUUCCCCGAACAGAGAGAGAUUUCUGCCCUGGUGAGACAGAGACACCCCCAGAAAAGAGAGAAGGACCUUCUGAGAGAAGAGACCAAGAGGGAGAGAGCUCUUUGGAACGAGUCUUCCUUUAAUCCCCAAAUCCCAGUGGGCCGCGCUGGGGUCUGCCUCCCCGCCCCGGCCCCCAGCCCACCUCCCUCCUGUGCCUCUGGGCUCCUGUUCCCUGGAAGACUUUGGCUGCCUUCUCUGCACCCCCCCCCCCCCCCCCCCCCCGGCAGUGGCCCCUUAGCUCGCCCAUGUCUCUGUCUGACCCCCACCAGGCGCGCACUGCAUGGAGUGGGGGUCACUACCAGUGGCAGGGGCCCGGGUGGAAUUGAAGGGGGAACCCUUCCCUACUCUCCUGUCCACGGAGGCCUGUCUUCCCCAGGGCUUCUGCAGCUGGGAGGAAGCUUCCGUCCUCUCCUCCCUCUCUUUCCACUUCAUUCUGGGGAUCCCUGCUUCUUCACCUUGCCCACUCUCCUUCCUUUUCUGUCCUCUUUCCCCUCUUCUCCUUGCCUGAGGGCCUGCAGCCCCUGCCCCUUCCUACAUGACCUGGUUGAGGCUGGGUUGUGGGGAUGGCAGGGGGAGUGGGGGCCCCAGGUGUAUUAUAUAUAAUGUAUAUUUUUUCAUGUUGCUGUGAGCGCAGCCCCCGUGUUCUGUGUGCAGCUCACGGCCUUGUGUGUGUGUGUGUGUGGCAUCGUCAUGUCCUGGGAGGGGGGAGAGGAGGGAGGGGGAUGGGUGUGGUGAGGGAGGGGAUGCACCCUAGGGUUUUCAAAUAAAACGACCAGAAAAAGCUCCGUGAGCCGCCUCCUGCCUGCCUGAUCCUGUGUGGGUGCUACGGAGGUGGUAGGAGCUCAGGUCUCAGGGUCCAUUUGGAGUCUGAGUAGGGCUGAAGUGAGGGGGCAGGGCCAUCAAAGCAACCCCCCCGCCAGAUAAAUCCCCAGAAGGCCAGGCCACUGGGUAUGUGCGGCUAUGGUGCCCACUGCCUUCUUCCUUCAGCACUGCCUAGAAAAGCACGGACAGUUCAGAGGAUGCCACAGAUGUCUGGGCCUUGCGGGAGACACUGUCAGUCCCUCCCCAUCUCUUGGACAUUCUGCCUGUAGCUUCUAGCCCCAGAGUCCAGGGCGAGAGGGCAGGAAACCCUGCUAUUUGUAGCAAGAGAACGAGCUUUGGUUCAUCUUCCCCACAUAGUCGGGGGCAGUAAUAAGACAAGCUCAUUUCAGAAGAGGGAACUGUAGAGGGAGCAUCCUUGUGGUGCCUUCCCGUCACAGGAAAGACCAGGGAUCCACGUCUUAACCCCUUUCUGUUGAAGAGGGGGCUC